GCCACGGCGGUGGAGGUGGUGAAUUUUGUUUCUUUGUCACCAAUUUGUAGACCAGGAUAAAACGGGUAUUUCACAUCAAUAGUUUAUUAAUUAACUUUCAGCUUAAGACUUCUCCCGUUGCUUGCAGCGUUCUUGUUACUGAAAAACCAGAGAGAAAUGAGAGUUUUUUUAGGAAGAGUAAAAGGAGGGAGAAAGUGACAACGUCAACUGAGAGUGAGCUCAUCUGACCCAGACCAAGAGAUUGUUGCAUUUUGGUGUAAGAAAGGAAGGUAAAGCUCCCAAUUCCUUUUUAUUCCUUUCAGAGUUAAGGUUUCAUACAUGGG
rnacentral:misc_RNA from 1 species